UGCGCAGGCGGGAGAACAAGUUGGAAGUGAAAUCCAUGGGCUCAACCCAUGAACUGCUUUCAAAACUGUUUUUCUUGAGUAGUGCAGAGGUAGGCGGAAUUCCCGGUGUAGCGGUGGAAUGCGUAGAUAUCGGGAGGAACACCAGUGGCGAAGGCGGCCUACUGGGCACCAACUGACGCUGAGGCUCGAAAGUGUGGGUAGCAAACA
rnacentral:rRNA from 1 species